rnacentral:rRNA from 1 species
GACGAACGCUGGCGGUGUGCUUAACACAUGCAAGUCGAACGGAAAGGCCCAGCUUGCUGGGUGCUCGAGUGGCGAACGGGUGAGUAACACGUGGGUGAUCUGCCUCUAACUUCGGGAUAAGCUUGGGAAACUGGGUCUAAUACCGGAUAGGACAAUCGUUUAGUGUCGGUUGUGGAAAGUUUUUUCGGUUAGGGAUGAGCCCGCGGCCUAUCAGCUUGUUGGUGGGGUAAUGGCCUACCAAGGCGUCGACGGGUAGCCGGCCUGAGAGGGUGGACGGCCACAUUGGGACUGAGAUACGGCCCAGACUCCUACGGGAGGCAGCAGUGGGGAAUAUUGCACAAUGGGCGCAAGCCUGAUGCAGCGACGCCGCGUGGGGGAUGACGGCCUUCGGGUUGUAAACCUCUUUCGACGGGGACGAAGCUUUGGUGACGGUACCUGUAUAAGAAGCACCGGCUAACUACGUG